AAGUCUCAUAUGCAGCCCCGUCGUUGACAUCGCUAUCGCGCACGAGAAGACGAGGGUUCCCUCUGCCCCGCCGCCACGCCCCCAUCCUCCUCUCCCCGAUUUCACCGGCGCCGGCGUGCUAUCGUCUUCCUCCUCUCCCUCUCCGGCGCGCUCUACCCACCACUGCGGCGCCACAGAGCACAUGCUCCUCAUGAUGCGCCGCACGCGGGCGGCCACGUCUCGCCCGACCGUCCGCCCACACGCCUCCUCCUUUGGGGUCCGGCGAGCGGCAUCGGCGGCCACGACGAAUCGGCACGUGUGCGGCCACUCUGUUUCGGUUCAGGGGCUACAGACUAUGCCGGAUUGGCCACCGGCUCAAAGGGAACACGCGGACGUCCUGGUCCUGCUCCUCCCGACCAAGUUGAUGUGGCGCGGGGCGGCGGCCUCAGAGCCUGCGGUGUACGCCUGUUGACGGGGCUCGGGGUGGCUGUGGCUGAAUAUCACAUCUCCUCCUCUUGUCCUCAUGCUCUCUGCUUUGUGUCAUCUUAUCUCUCCGAUUCUUCUUUGGCCACAUGUGCAGGUGUUUGAGGCAGGAGCGUUGAUUAGCAUCGGCGAAAGUACUCCGCCCACAUCCUGUUUGAUGUUAUGCUAUGACAGACUGGGAAUUUUCAGAUCCAACUCUUACUACUAUUUAGAUAUUCAGAAUGAAAAAACAAGUGUAUCUGAUGUCGGAUCUGCACCUAAAACAAGUGUACAUGAUGUUCCAAGCUGUCCGUGAUGAUGGCCGAAGAGUAGGCGAGGGUCCACUGUUCAUUUGAUUUCGUGGGGAUUAUCCAGAACAAUGCGAUCUGAAUUGAAGCCAAUCCGAUCCAGGUGAAACAGAAGUUGAUAGAUUAUUCCGGAGACGAGGUGAUAUAUAUAUCAAGCGGAAGUCUGUUUGUGUGACUCUGCCUGUAUGUUGUCAAGUUGCAAAUAGCCUGGUUUUAUCAGUUGUUGCUUGAUGAGAGACCAACCAGUUUAUGCCUGACAUUUGUGACUCUACAUUUAAUGCAGUACAAUCGAGAGCUCACGGCAUCAGGUUCAAACCGAUGCUGUGGCCAACACAGAUAGUAGCAGUCAAGACAAUGACUUUUUGGACGAAGAAGAGUGACUUCAUGCAAGGAAAUGAGUUCCAAUAUUGGUGUGACGAGUCCCUUGACUGAAGGAGGAGGAGAACGUCAAGGGAGGCAUGAGCCGGUGGUGGCAGCAUGAGCCAUCACGACGCAUCACCGGGAGGCUCCGGGCGGGGGGCAUGAGAGGUGUGACACAAGUGAGGAGGCGAACUAGAGAAGAUGAGUAGAUCGAGAUGGAUCAUACAAGGAUGAAGGGAUGUUAUAGAGCCGUUAGCCGACGGUGCUAAUUUCCUGUGUGGGUCGAUGUCGGUUGCCAUGCAGUAAAUGAAGAGUGCGUGUAUGCCUGUGGCCCCUCCAUUUUCAUAUUUGGAGUCCACACAGGCUGGGUGGCCGAGGGGAAGAGUGAGCGAUUUUUUUGUUCCGUUUUCUUUGCCUGAGUAGGUGUCUGUGAGGACUCCUCCCCCCUUGGUGAUUUUGGUGAUGGUGGUGAGAUGGUGGAUUCUUUUUUUGCGGGAUCGUUUAAUAUACAUAGAAAUUUUUCUUA